rnacentral:rRNA from 1 species
GUUCGGGAUAGCCACUGGAAACGGUGAUUAAUACCGGAUACUCCUUCUUGUUAUAAGACAAGUCGGGAAAGUUUUUCGCUAAGGGAUCAGUCUAUGUUCCAUCAGCUUGUUGGUGAGGUAAUGGCUCACCAAGGCUAUGACGGAUAUCUGGUUUGAGAGGAUGAUCAGACACACUGGAACUGAGACACGGUCCAGACUCCUACGGGAGGCAGCAGUGAGGAAUAUUGCACAAUGGAGGAAACUCUGAUGCAGCAACGCCGCGUGGAGGAUGACGCAUUCCGGUGUGUAAACUCCUUUUAUUAGGGAAGAUAAUGACGGUACCUAAUGAAUAAGCACCGGCUAACUCCGUGCCAGCAGCCGCGGUAAUACGGAGGGUGCAAGCGUUACUCGGAAUCACUGGGCGUAAAGGGUGCGUAGGCUGGCUUUUAAGUCAGAUGUGAAAUCCAAUGGCUCAACCAUUGAACUGCAUUUGAAACUGAAAGCCUAGAGUUCAGAAGGGGCAGAUGGAAUUAGUGGUGUAGGGGUAAAAUCCGUAGAUAUCACUAGGAAUAUCAAAAGCGAAGGCGAUCUGCUGGGAU